CUUCUCUCAUCCCUGGACCUUUCUGUGGAAAUAUGAAAGCAACCACAGUGCUCAGCCAUGCUGUCAGGAAUUAAGAGAAGGGAAUGUAUUGAGUUUAGGAAGAAAUGAAAAGGGAAGGGCAGCGGCUCCUCCCUUGGCGGUGGCCGCCAUCUUGGAGCUGCGGGAAGGGAGCUGUGGUCAAAGCGAACCGGCUGAGAAGGAAGCUGAAGAGAUGGAGUGGAGGUCAGAUUUCUGAGCCUCCUGGAGGCUGCACCUUCAGAUGAUCAGAUAUGUGGCAGGAGUGGGAAAGGGACACAGAAAGAAGGAGGAUCCGUUUCUCUAAUCCGUGAUGAUCUGGAGACUUUAAUAUGGGAUUUAUGAUGGCUAAAGAGCAUUACCUACC
rnacentral:lncRNA from 10 species